CGCGGUCCGACCCGAAGGAGGACUGCGGGCGGCGGUCACGUGGGAGGAGCGGUCAGAGCUCAAAGGGAGCACAGAUCCCAGCAGCCUUGAGAAGAUCUCGACCAGUUAUGCCAUGGGGAUCCACCCCUAUUUUUCACACUGCUGGUUAGGUAUCUGGCAGAGAGGACAAUUCCCUGCAGUUUAUCAUUAGCCAGAAAAGCCACUCCUUCCAUCUCAGGACCUGAAGAAAUGUAGCCACAAUAAUACAAUGAAACUCCCUCCCUCCCAGCAGGGUUGGAUGCUGAGGCCAAAGAAGAUUAAAUUACCUUUCCAUGGCCACUCAUAACCCAUCACUUCCUUCAAUGCUUCACCAAGCAUACAGACACAGCCCUUUCUCUUAUACCCUGCUGAGGGGUGGCACUGCUGAGACACACCGAGUUCACACUGUGACUCUCUGCCAUAUAAUGCAAAGCAAAAAUUCAACCCAAGAUGAAGGGGAGUGCAGAAAUAGAGAGAAUUUAAGCUGUGCUGAGUGCGUAGUGUGUCCCACGCCAGAGUGACCCAAAGAGAGUUGCAGAGACCCAGCAGCCUCCCUGUGUUUCUGUUGCUGGGUAGCUGAAGGAGAGGCCAGGUAGGAGCAGAGAGCAAGCAGGCGAAUGCCAGUCCCCUCCUGUGGUGUGUCCUGGGCUUCCUGCAGCUCCUUGCUGGCUAAGGGGAUAGCUGGAAUCGACAUUGUGGAUGUCAGCCAUGUCCCCAGGACUGUGGGGGAAGGUGGAGUUAGUCAGUGGGGAGAUAUCAUGGUCAUAGAAUGGUUGGGGUUGGAAGGGAUCUCAAAGACCAUCUCAUUCCACCCACUGCCAUGGGCAGGGACAUCUUCCACUCAACCAGGUUGCUUCAAGCCCUGCUCAACCUGGCCUUGAACCCUUCCAGGGAUGGGGCAGCCACAGCUGUUCUAGGCACCCUGUGCCAGGGCCUCCCCACCCUCACAAGGAGGAAUUUCUUCCCAAUAUCCCAUCUAACCCUGGCCUCUGGCAGUGCGAAGCCAUUCUCCCUUGUCCUGUGACUCUAGGCCCUUGUAAAAAAGUCUCUCUCCAUCUUUCCUGUCAGCUUCUUCAGGUAGUGCAAGGUCACAAUGAGUCACUCUGAAGCUUUGUUUCUGCAGGCUGAACAAUCCCAAUUCUCUCAGAAAAUAUGUUUGAGGAAGGGGAGCCCAAAAUACAACAAUCUAAAUUAUUCUGUGAUUUUGUGCCAAGGAAAAUGCAAUAUUUUGGCUUUUUGUUUUUAAUUCCAGCUCUUUCUUCUCUUCUUCUCCACAUCUUAAGUUUUCUGCCCAGCAGAUGCUCCAGAUCCUGAGCUAUCCUGAAGUGCUGAUGCUCACCAUCUACAGUCAUGCCCUUCAGUAUCUCCUGGAGACUCUGUUCUGGAAAAUGGAUUUCCAUUGAGAGUGUUGGGACUUCAGCACUCCAACAUUGACCUGCUUCCCUAGAAUUAAUUGGGAGAUGUGUUUCAUUUCAGAAAAUUCCCUAGACACGUAGAAAACCACUUUCUGGGUUGUGAGUCAGACAAAAUGCACCUUUUGUCAUCUCCUGUCUGUAUUGGAAGUGCUUUGCUUAUUUCUGGGGUUUAUUAACAGAAAACAGUUUACAAAAGGAGUUGAUGGGGUCCAAGGAAAGAGCACUUCAGCGCUUCCAGGAAUUAAAGAAUUCUGGCCUUAA